UACGUAGGGUGCGAGCGUUGUCCGGAAUUAUUGGGCGUAAAGAGCUUGUAGGCGGUCUGUCGCGUCUGCUGUGAAAAUCCGGGGCUCAACCCCGGACUUGCAGUGGGUACGGGCAGACUAGAGUGUGGUAGGGGAGACUGGAAUUCCUGGUGUAGCGGUGGAAUGCGCAGAUAUCAGGAGGAACACCAAUAGCGAAGGCAGCUCGCUGGGACGGUACUGACGCUG
rnacentral:rRNA from 1 species